rnacentral:rRNA from 1 species
GAAUUUUGGACAAUGGGGGCAACCCUGAUCCAGCCAUCCCGCGUGUGCGAUGAAGGCCUACGGGUUGUAAAGCACUUUUGGCAGGGAAGAAAAGGCUCCGGCUAAUACCUGGCGCUGCUGACCGUACCUGCAGAAUAAGCACCGGCUAGCUACGUUCUAGCAGCAGCGGUAAUACGUAGGGUGCAAGCGUUAAGCGGAAUUACUGGGCGUAAAGCGUGCGCAGGCGGUUCGGCAAGAAGGAUGUGAAAUCCCAGGGCUUAACCUGGGAACUGCAUUCUUAACUGCCGGGCUAGAGUAUGUCAGAGGGGGGUAGAAUUCCGCGUGUAGCAGUGAAAUGCGUAGAGAUGCGGAGGAAUACCGAUGGCGAAGGCAGCCCCCUGGGAUAAUACUGACGCUCAUGCACGAAAGCGUGGGGAGCAAAC